rnacentral:rRNA from 1 species
UACGGGGGGGGCAAACGUUGUUCGGAAUCAUUGGGCGUAAAGCGCGCGCAGGCGGAUCAGCAAGUCAGAUGUGAAAUCUCGGAGCUCAACUCCGAAACUGCGUCUGAAACUGCUAGUCUAGAAUGUCGGAGGGGGCAGGGGAAUUUCACGUGUAGGGGUAAAAUCCGUAGAGAUGUGAAGGAACACCGGAGGCGAAGGCGCCUGCCUGGACGACUAUUGACGCUGAGGCGCGAAAGCGUGGGGAGCAAACAGG